rnacentral:precursor_RNA from 1 species
UUAGCCCAGUCCCUCAUUCUUGUUCUUAGUGAACACAAGACGGAGUGACUGGGAUCAUA